CAUGCUCCUCACAAGAAAGUCUCUGGGAAUAUCCUGGCUCUUUGGUAUAUGAAAAUAAAGGAGGCAGAGUCCACAUCCACUACUGACUGCUUCAAGGAAACAAAGAGCCCUCUGAGAAGAUCUCCAGCCCAAGCUCAAACCAAACCAAACCAGGAAGACAAGACAUCCACAGGCUUCCAAGCAGGAAGGGGAGCCCAUGGGAUCAGCUCUGGGUAACACAAUCCCCAGCACAGCUCUGUCAUUGGCUCACAGGAUCCCUGGUCCAGCUUCUUCCUCUCAACAACCAGCUCUAGAACUUGAGGUGUCUGCCCCCAUUCUCUUCAGGGAUGGGAAACGGAGAAUUUUCAGAAGUAAACGUUAAGGGUUUGUUGAAAGGCAGCCACACAAAACCUCAGGUGUGAGCCACGCUGACAACUUCCUCCUCCAUCUUUAGAACAAGCAAAUGCUGCAGAUACUCCCAGCUUGCAACAGAGCCAG